CGUACAGGUCUCCGUAGGUGAACCUGCGGAGGGAUCAUUACACAAAUAUGAAGGCGGGCUGGAACCUCUCGGGGUUACAGCCUUGCUGAAUUAUUCACCCUUGUCUUUUGCGUACUUCUUGUUUCCUUGGUGGGUUCGCCCACCACUAGGACAAACAUAAACCUUUUGUAAUUGCAAUCAGCGUCAGUAACAAAUUAAUAAUUACAACUUUCAACAACGGAUCUCUUGGUUCUGGCAUCGAUGAAGAACGCAGCGAAAUGCGAUAAGUAGUGUGAAUUGCAGAAUUCAGUGAAUCAUCGAAUCUUUGAACGCACAUUGCGCCCUUUGGUAUUCCAAAGGGCAUGCCUGUUCGAGCGUCAUUUGUACCCUCAAGCUUUGCUUGGUGUUGGGCGUCUUGUCUCUAGCUUUGCUGGAGACUCGCCUUAAAGUAAUUGGCAGCCGGCCUACUGGUUUCGGAGCGCAGCACAAGUCGCACUCUCUAUCAGCAAAGGUCUAGCAUCCACUAAGCCUUUUUUUCAACUUUUGACCUCGGAUCAGGUAGGGAUACCCGCUGAACUUAAGC
rnacentral:rRNA from 1 species